CCACAUUAUGCAUGUCCUUGAAUGCCUCUGUUUGCCAAUUUGGAAGCGAUGACAGACACAGAUAAAUCAUGAAGAGAAGCUAUCUUGGGAUGGAGGUAAGUGUGUUCAAGUACAUCUUCCAAGAACAUAUUAGGUCUGAGAAAAAUAUUAGAACUGCAGGAAAGAAAAAAACAUUGUGAUAAUAUGAUGAUACCGUUUAGUCAUUAAGUUCUAUGGUGACAAACCAGAACUUUCCUAUGUUUGUAAUGUAGGAGGCUAUGCUGUGAUUAAAUCAUUAUCUGUCCAGCCAAUAAAAUACAAAGAAAGCCAGUAAAGCAAUUUUGUUAAAGAAGCAAUUGAAGGGCCGGGCACGGUGGCUCAUGCCUGUAAUCCCAGCAUUUUGGGAAGCUGAGGUGGGCGGACUGCCUGAGCUCAGGAGUUCAAGACCAGCCUGGACAACACGGUGAAACCCUGUCUCUCCUAAAAUACAAAAAAAAUGUGCCAGGCAUGACGGCAUGCGCCUGUAAUCCCAGCUACUUGAAGGCCGAGGCAGGAGAAUCAUUUAACCCCGGGAAAUGGAGGUUGCAGUGAGCCAGAAUCUCCCCACUGCACUUCAGACUGGGUGACAGAGCAAGACUCGAUCUCUAAAAAAAACAAACAACAACAACAAGCAAUUGAAAUAGCAGUUUUUGAACCUAAUACUUUUUCUCUCCAUGUUCCUUUAACAGUUGCAUGAUCAAGCUGACUUGAGGGUNNNNNNNNNNNNNNNNNNNNNNNNNNNNNNNNNNNNNNNNNNNNNNNNNNNNNNNNNNNNNNNNNNNNNNNNAGCUGGGAUUAGAGGCACCUGCCACCUCGCCCGGAUAAUUUUUUGUAUUUUUAGUAGAGACGGGGUUUCACAGUGUUAGCCAGGAUGGUCUCGAUCUCCUGACCUCGUGAUCUGCCCACCUCAGCCUCACAAAGUGCUGGGAUUACAGGCGUGAGCCACUGUGCAUGGCCAAAAAAAUUAUUUAAACUAGCAGGGUGUGGUGGCACAUGCCUGUAGUCCCAGCUACUUGGAAGGCUGAGGCAUGAGGAUCACUGGAGCCCAGAAGGCAGAGGCUGUAGAGAGCCGAGAUCGUGCCACUACACUCCAGCCUGGGCAACAGAACAAGACCUAGUCUCUAAAAACUUUGCUUGUCUAUGAAUGAAGUGGGCUGCCAGAUUGGAAAGGUCACAGGACUCAGGCUUAAAGACCUACAGAUUUUUUGCUCUAUCGUUUACUAACAGGGCUGAGCACUUAGCCUCUCUAACCCUCAGUUUUUUUCAGUAGCAGAAUGGGUUCAAUUUAUCUAAUUCUACUAAUAGGAUCAUGGAGAAUGAGAUUAACAGAUGUAAAAGGGCUUUAUAGACUGUAUGUUGCUAGUCACAUAUAAGAUAUUAUCCAGAUACAGCUUGAGCAAAGAAAGUAUGACAUUGGCCAUUUUAUAUAAAGCAAGUGUCUUAGUCUGUUAUAACAAAAUGCCACAGACCGUGUGGCUU
rnacentral:lncRNA from 1 species